CUUAUGGUGAUUAAUACUCAGUCUAAAUUCUACGCUAAUGCAAAAUGAAUGGAAAGGGAAAUAGGUUUAGGAAUUGUGAGACCUUUGGAGUUCUUUCUCAGAUGAGCAUGAAUGGCGGCGGCGAUAUCUUCAAAUCCCCGGUGAAACAAUGCUCCGAUUGCCUCUCCAAUUCCUUCUUCUCGCUCCUCGAUCUCUCUCAAUUUAAGAUGAAGUCGCAGCGGCCACAUCUUCUUAUCCAACGGCGUUUUGCGAUUCCGAGCGUGGUUCCUUGUAUGACUCUCGCGUUGUCGUCGUUUUCGGUGAAAUUGUUGGAGUUUGACGAGGUUGCGAAGAUGAUGAUUUAUGCAUUGAAGAUGAAGAUGAUGCGUACUAGCUGAGAGGUGUUACGAAGAUGAUGAAGAUCUCAGGUUGACGUGAACGAGAUCGAUAUUGAUUCUCUUGAAAUCGAGAGGAUUGGAGGUUGGCGAAUCUGAUGAUGAAGCUUCAAGAACUCGGUCAGAGGUUCUUUCUUCUUCUUUGAAAUUUUCUCUCGAUUCUUCUGAAAUUUGAGCGUCGAGAUGAUGUUGUGGAUUGUUGCAGGUUGAUGGGGAACUUUGCGAGGUAUUGCGAAGAUGAUGAUUGUAGUGAUUGAAGAAGGUGGAUAGUUUGCAUAGUGGUGGUUAUCGAUGGAUGAAUGAAGAAGGUUGAAGAUUCAAGAUCGAGAAAGAGUUUUUCUGUGAGUUUGUUACAUAUUCUGGUACGUUGCUAUGCUGAGUUUUUAGUUUUUCUGUGUGAUUUUAGUGAUGAUUUGAAGAAGGUGAAUUCAGAGAGAGAGGUAAAGUUUGUGGAGAGCUUUGGACCGAUUAUGGUGAUUUUGUUGAGAUUGAAGAUGAUUGAUGAAACUGUGAUGAAGUUUUUUUUUGGGGAAGAAGAUUGAGAGAGGUUCAGAGAGAGUUUGUUACAGUGAGUUCAUGAUUGAAUUAUUCUUUGUUGUAGCCGCGGUUUGAUGUAUGGAAAACAGGGCACUUUUGGCAUGAUAUUAACAUGGAAAUUCUUGGAGACUUCCAGGAGCUUUUUUUUUCUUUUUGUGUGCAGGGCAUACUUGUAAUCUUUGUAAAGUUGACUUUUGUAAAUGUGUUUUGAACAUGCAUUUAGACUGAAUUCUUUUGUAGUGGAUAUGUAUUGGACAUUUGAAGGUUUUGUAAUGAAUUUUGUGAUGGAUGUAAACGGAAUGGAGAUUUGGUUUUUCCUAUGAAUGUAUGAAUUAUGUUGGACUCACGAUAUCGACCUGUUCUUCAACUUUUUGUAUCUCACUAAUUCCAAGU